AUGAACGCUGGCGGCGUGCCUAAUACAUGCAAGUCGAGCGAACAGACGAGGAGCUUGCUCCUCUGACGUUAGCGGCGGACGGGUGAGUAACACGUGGAUAACCUACCUAUAAGACUGGGAUAACUUCGGGAAACCGGAGCUAAUACCGGAUAAUAUAUUGAACCGCAUGGUUCAAUAGUGAAAGACGGUUUUGCUUUCACUUAUAGAUGGAUCCGCGCCGCAUUAGCUAGUUGGUAAGGUAACGGCUUACCAAGGCAACGAUGCGUAGCCGACCUGAGAGGGUGAUCGGCCACACUGGAACUGAGACACGGUCCAGACUCCUACGGGAGGCAGCAGUAGGGAAUCUUCCGCAAUGGGCGAAAGCCUGACGGAGCAACGCCGCGUGAGUGAUGAAGGUCUUCGGAUCGUAAAACUCUGUUAUUAGGGAAGAACAAAUGUGUAAGUAACUAUGUACGUCUUGACGGUACCUAAUCAGAAAGCCACGGCUAACUACGUG
rnacentral:rRNA from 1 species